rnacentral:rRNA from 1 species
GACGAACGCUGGCGGCGUGCUUAACACAUGCAAGUCGAACGGAAAGGCCCUGCUUUUGUGGGGUGCUCGAGUGGCGAACGGGUGAGUAACACGUGAGUAACCUGCCCUUGACUUUGGGAUAACUUCAGGAAACUGGGGCUAAUACCGGAUAGGAGCUCCUGCUGCAUGGUGGGGGUUGGAAAGUUUCGGCGGUUGGGGAUGGACUCGCGGCUUACCAGCUUGUUGGUGGGGUAGUGGCUUACCAAGGCUUUGACGGGUAGCCGGCCUGAGAGGGUGACCGGCCACAUUGGGACUGAGGUACGGCCCAGACGCCUACGGGAGGCAGCAGUGGGGAAUAUUGCACAAUGGGCGGAAGCCUGAUGCAGCAACGCCGCGUGCGGGAUGACGGCUUUCGGGUUGUAAACCGCUUUCGCCUGUGACGAAGCGUGAGUGACGGUAAUGGGUAAAGAAGCACCGGCUAACUACGUG